UCGGCAAUGGACGAAAGUCUGACCGAGCGACGCCGCGUGCGGGAUGAAGGCCCUCGGGUUGUAAACCGCUGUCAGUAGUUAGGAAGUCCAUGAGAGUUAUCUCUCAUGGUUGACCGAUCUUCAGAGGAAGGACGGGCUAAGUUCGUGCCAGCAGCCGCGGUAAGACGAACCGUCCAAACGUUAUUCGGUAUCACUGGGCUUAAAGCGUGCGUAGGCGGCUUGGUAGGUGAGAUGUGAAAGCCCACGGCUCAACCGUGGAAUUGCGUUUCAAACCCCCAAGCUCGAGGAAGAUAGGGGUGAUGGGAACUUAUGGUGGAGCGGUGAAAUGCGUUGAUAUCAUAGGGAACACCGGUGGCGAAAGCGCAUCACUGGAUCUUUUCUGACGCUGAGGCACGAAAGCUAGGGUAGCGAACGGGAUUAGAUACCCCGGUAGUCCUAGCCGUAAACGAUGAACACUGGGUUGAGGGGACUUCCACAUCCUCUCGGCCGUAGCGAAAGCGUUAAGUGUUCCGCCUGGGGAGUAUGGUCGCAAGGCUGAAACUCAAAGGAA
rnacentral:rRNA from 1 species